rnacentral:rRNA from 1 species
AGUGAACGCUGGCGGUAGGCCUAACACAUGCAAGUCGAACGGCAGCACAGUAAGAGCUUGCUCUUACGGGUGGCGAGUGGCGGACGGGUGAGGAAUACAUCGGAAUCUACUUUUUCGUGGGGGAUAACGUAGGGAAACUUACGCUAGUACCGCAUACGACCUACGGGUGAAAGCAGGGGAUCUUCGGACCUUGCGCGAUUGAAUGAGCCGAUGUCGGAUUAGCUAGUUGGCGGGGUAAAGGCCCACCAAGGCGACGAUCCGUAGCUGGUCUGAGAGGAUGAUCAGCCACACUGGAACUGAGACACGGUCCAGACUCCUACGGGAGGCAGCAGUGGGGAAUAUUGGACAAUGGGCGCAAGCCUGAUCCAGCCAUACCGCGUGGGUGAAGAAGGCCUUCGGGUUGUAAAGCCCUUUUGUUGGGAAAGAAAAGCAGCAGGUUAAUACCCCGCUGUUCCGACGGUACCCAAAGAAUAAGCACCGGCUAACUUCGUG